UGGCGGACGGGUGAGUAAUACAUCGGAACGUACCCAGGAGUGGGGGAUAACGUAGCGAAAGUUACGCUAAUACCGCAUAUUCUGUGAGCAGGAAAGCGGGGGAUCGCAAGACCUCGCGCUCUUGGAGCGGCCGAUGUCGGAUUAGCUAGUUGGUGAGGUAAAAGCUCACCAAGGCGACGAUCCGUAGCAGGUCUGAGAGGAUGAUCUGCCACACUGGGACUGAGACACGGCCCAGACUCCUACGGGAGGCAGCAGUGGGGAAUUUUGGACAAUGGGGGCAACCCUGAUCCAGCCAUGCCGCGUGAGUGAAGAAGGCCUUCGGGUUGUAAAGCUCUUUCGGCGGGGAAGAAAUGGCAACGGCUAAUAUCCGUUGUUGAUGACGGUACCCGCAUAAGAAGCACCGGCUAACUACGUGCCAGCAGCCGCGGUAAU
rnacentral:rRNA from 1 species